UACGGAGGGUGCAAGCGUUAUCCGGAAUCACUGGGUUUAAAGGGUGCGUAGGCGGUUUAGUAAGUCAGAGGUGAAAGCUCGUUGCCUAACAACGGAACUGCCUUUGAUACUGCUAGACUUGAUUUAGGUUGAGGUAGUCAGAAUGUGACAUGUAGCGGUGAAAUGCUUAGAUAUGUCAUAGAACACCGAUUGCGAAGGCAGGCUACUAGACCUCAAAUGACGCUGAGGCACGAAAGCGUGGGGAGCGAACAGG
rnacentral:rRNA from 1 species